rnacentral:ncRNA from 1 species
AGCAAUCGAAGGCGGUGAUGCUGUGACGCUCAUCAUCUUCACCUCCCUGUUGGACUACGGCCGAGCUUAGUGCUCGGCCUUUUUU